GACGAGAGAAUUUAAAAAGCGCGGGGAGGGCAGAUGCGAUCAUGCGAAUCAAAACAGCUAUGGAAGACUGAAAACCAUGCAGGCUGAGGACGCUAGGUACUUGAAAAAGAAGGUGAAGGUAGGGUCGCUAGAUGUGCACCCUACUGAGAAAGCACUGGUGGUUAACUAUGAGCUGGAGGCAACCAUCCUCGGCCAGUUGGGCGAUGCCAUGCUCGGGGACAAGAAGGAAUGUCAGAAGAUCAUCCGUCUGAAGAGUUUAGACAGCAACACAGAUGUGGCAGUGCUGGCAAGGGAGGUGGUGGACAAGUGCAAGCUUAUCCAUCCAUCGAAGCUGGGGGAAGUACAGCACCUCAUCAGUUACCUUCUGUCUCGGAAAGAAUGCAGCAAAGAUGGUCAAGUUUCCUUGAACCACCCUGAUCCUGGGGAGCCUAAGGAACAGGCCAACCUGAAUGAGCUGGAUUCAUACAUGGAGAUGCUGUACGAGGACAUGCCAGACAAGGUCCGGGGUGCAUCAUUCAUCUUGCAGCUGGCCAGGAACCCCGACUACCUGGAGGAGUUGUGCCAGAAUGAGACAGUGCUGGGAGCCUUGGCACGUGUACUACGAGAGGACUGGAAGAAAAGUCUGGACCUCAGCUACAAUAUUGUCUACAUAUUCUUCUGCUUUUCUGUGUUCUCUAACUUCCACAGCGUCAUCUCUCAUUUCAAGAUUGGCUCCCUCUGCAUGGAUAUAAUUGAUGGGGAGCUGCAGCGCACUGACCAGUAUCGGGAGCAGCUCACCAAGAGAAAGAAGGGAGGGGAGCUUGGUGCAGAUCCUGCCAAACUCCAACAGGACUAUGAACGCAACUUGAAGAAAUAUCAGGCAGUUAUUGAGAAGCAGGAUCAGGUGCUGCGGGUGUGUACAUAUCUGCUGCUCAACAUCGCGGAAGAUGUGCGUGUGGAGGAGAAGAUGCGACGGAAGAACAUUGUGGGUCUUCUGGUGCGGAUGCAAGAGAGAGAGUCACCUGACCUACUCCUCCUGGUGGUGUCAUUCCUGAAGAAGCUGUCUUGCUAUAUGGAGAACAAGGAUGAUAUGGCUGACCUCAACAUUGUAGAGAAGGUGAGCCGCCUUGUAUCUACUGACAAUAGUGACUUGCUCAACGUUACCAUACGGCUGCUGCUAAAUCUAUCUUUUGAUUCUGGCUUGAGGGCAAAAAUGAUCAAGGUUGGACUUCUUCCCAAGCUAGUGUCUCUUAUGUCAGAGGAGCGACAUCAGCAGGCAGUGUUGGCUGUUCUCUACCACCUCAGUGUGGAUGACAAGUGCAAGUCCAUGUUCACAUACACAGAUUGCAUUCCAACAGUUAUGAAGUUGGUGUUGAAUUCCCCUGAGCCUAUGGUGCCCCUGGAGCUGAUGGCUCUGGCAGUGAAUCUUGCUGCCAACAAACGUAAUGCCCAGCUGAUCUGUGAGGGCGCUGGCCUGAAGCUUUUGAUGAAACGAGUUCUCAAGUACCGUGACCCUCUCCUUACCAAGAUGAUCCGCAACAUUGCCCAGCAUGAAGGACCCACUAGGGUGCUUUUUACUGAAUUUGUUGGAGAUCUGUGUGAAGUAGUGAGUGGUGGUGAGAGUGAUGAGUUUGUUCUGGAGUGUGUUGGGGUGCUGGGUAACCUCUCUCUACCUGAUCUUGACUAUUGUCAAUUGCUUACCAAGCACAACCUCAUUGAUUGGAUCAAAGACAGCCUUCAGCCAGAUGCAGUGGAAGAUGACUUGGCCCUCGAAGUUGUUGUAUUGUUGGGCACAGUGGCUGGGGACCAGGCAGCAGCUCAGCUCAUUGUAAAUACAGGGAUACUUCAUUCCCUAGUCAACCUCCUUAAUGCAAAGCAAGAGGAUGAUGAGAUGGUGCUGCAGAUUGUUUAUGUGUUCUACCAGCUUACCCGACAUGAGGCAACUCGGCCCCAGGUCAUCUCAACCACUGAAGUCCCUGCCUACUUGAUUGACCUCAUGCAUGAUAAGAACACAGAGAUUCGCAGAGUCUGUGACACCACACUGGACAUCAUCUCUGAAAAUGAUAAUGAGUGGGCAGUGCGGAUCCAGUGUCAUAAGUUCCGAUGGUACAACAGUCAGUGGCUGGACAUGGUGGAGGAGGCAGAAAAUAUUGACACCAUGGGUGGAGAGGAGAUGGCAGGUGGAGAAGGACUGGGCCACUCCUUCCUCCACCACUCCGAUGUUUUGGACCACCAGGGACUGUAUUCAGAUGGCUUGUCCUCCCCGGAGAGUGAAGAGUACCCUGGCAUUAAUGGUCACAGUGAAACUUCCCGUCCCUCUUCUAAUUACACUAACCGAACUGGCCCAGGGUAACAAAAACCUACAAACAAAAAGGUCCCUUUAGAUGCUACGUCCCCAAACAAGGCUGAGAGAAUUGCCCAAAAGGUCUUGAGUAGAUAGAUGGAAGUACAAAAGCAGAUUUAGUGCUGACCUGGAGCAGUUUGCUGAUGAGCUACUGAAGAAAGCUGGUGUAUAAUGGUGUCUGGUGCAAAUAUCUUCAUUUUCAUCUAACCUAUGAGGAGUCUAGUCACUUUAGCUGUAAUCCUUUCACAUUCCUUGGCUCUGACAGAGUCUCACUGUAAUUGAUUUAAGCAUGCAUUGCCUUUUACAGUAUCUGUGUUUUAAUUAAUUUAAGAUCAUAAGUAUGACAGGUAAUAUGCAAUAUGAUCUUAUGGAAUCUUGUAUAUUUGUGAAAACAUUAAUUGAAAAAACAAAAUUAUGUGUGUACCAUUUUGUUUGAAUUUAAAGAUCUAAGGUCACAUCAAGCUUGGAUCGUAUACUCUUUUUAAUUUUAACCCCUUCCCAGCAGCAGGGCAGAUGAGUGUUCAACCAAAUAAAAAAUUGUCUAUAUAUAUAGACUCUACUAACUUUCAUCGAUACGUCUAUAUAUAGUUUCCCUACAAAUGGGUACUCCAGAUUGACAUCUAUAUAUAAACUCUGCCACAAAACUGAACAAUUGAAUCUAUAUAUAGACUCUGCUGCAAAACUGAACAAGUGACAUCUAUAUGUAGACUCUGCCAUAAAACUGAACACACAAUUGAAUCUAUAUAUAAGUGUUAUUUGUAUGUGAUUGGUUAUAAUGUAUGUCAGUAUAUUUGUAUGAAUGUUUGGGUUAUUCAUAUCCAGGACUUGUGACCUGGAUGUAAUUUACUUCCACUUUUCUUCAUAUUUUUCACAUACAUACUUGUUUUGUACCUAUUCAUAUUUUUUUGGCAGUGGUGCUGGUGUGUGGUACAGUUCUUUCUCCUUGACAUGAUAGAUUAAUGAUAAAAGAAAGUUGAAAAAAUGCAAAAUUUUCCAGUAUUAGGUUAUAUGCAUAGCACAUCCACCAUCAACAAAGCACAAGAGGUGACUGGCCUUGAGAGGCCAUGUUGACCAGCGUUUGGGUAUUUGAGAUGCUAAAUAAUGAUUUAUUUUAUUAAUUUUGUUAAUUGUAAGGAAACAUCUAUAUAUAGAUCAUGCUACAUCUUAGUGCAGUAAAAUAAGAACAAAUGUCUAUAUAUAGACAAUAUGACAAAAGUCCCAUUUUUUUAAACAUCUAUAUAUAGAUACUCCGCCAGUAAGAGGUUAAUGUAAUAUGAUCAAGAAGUCCAGUGCAGGCUUCUGACAGCACUGUCUCUGUAUGUGGUGUGGCACUCUUGGCUACAGCAUUUAUGAACCACCAUAGUUAACAUAGCAGAAGGAACUACACAGUUUAUAUAAUACUAGGAUCUCUGUAUGUGGUGUGGCACUCUUGGCUACAGCAUUUAUGAACCACCAUAGUUAACAUAGCAGAAGGAACUACACAGUUUAUAUAAUACUUAGGAUCUCUGAUUUGGGUGAGUUAAAAUCAAAAUCUGCCCACUGCAAAGAUGUCAAGAUUAUAACAUUAAAUAAAUAAACUUUAAAUUAA